rnacentral:rRNA from 1 species
UACGUAGGGUCCGAGCGUUGUCCGGAGUUACUGGGCGUAAAGCGCGUUCAGGCGGUUUGGCAAGUCGGGCAUGAAAUCUCUCGGCUCAACCGGGAGAGGUUGUCCGAUACUGCUGGACUUGAGGGCAGUAGAGGGUGGUGGAAUUCCGGGUGUAGUGGUGAAAUGCGUAGAUAUCCGGAGGAACACCAGUGGCGAAAGCGGCCACCUGGACUGCACCUGACGCUGACACGCGAAAGCUAGGGGAGCGAACGGG